rnacentral:lncRNA from 10 species
AGUCUGAGGCAGGUGCCCGACAUGGCGAGUGUAGUGCUGCCGAGCGGAUCCCAGUGUGCGGCGGCAGCGGCGGCGGCGGCGCCUCCCGGGCUCCGGCUCCGGCUUCUGCUGUUGCUCUUCUCCGCCGCGGCACUGAUCCCCACAGGUAAGUGACAAUCUUAUGCUUGGAUACAUCAGCUUCAAAAUGGAUGGAUUUUGAGGGUUUCAUUCCUCUUCUCUGAUGCUGUAGCAGUAAGUCAUACUUCUCAUGUGUGCUCUGUUCUGGUCUGGUCUGGGCCAGGGGAUUGGCUUGACAAAAGAAACUAGAUAAUUUCUUGUAAACACUUUGCUUCUUUUACUUGAUAUACGUGUUUUGUUAAGAACUCUUUGUAUGUGUAGUCUCUGAGAUUGCACAGAAGAAUAAAAGGACCAGCUUCCAACUUUCAAGAAGACUGGAUUUUCGUAAGGAUACAACAGAAAGAACUUGGGUUUUGGAGUUGUAUUAGGUUUGAAUUUCACUUUUUCAUUACUGUGUGAUAACUCAGUUGGAUAUCUUUUUCUUCUUCUAUUUCCUCAUUUACUCAAUAGGUGUAAUA